rnacentral:rRNA from 1 species
GACGAACGCUGGCGGCGUGCUUGACACAUGCAAGUCGAACGGAAAGGCCUGCUUUCCCUUGUGGAUUGCGGGUACUCGAGUGGCGAACGGGUGAGUAACACGUGAGUGAUCUGCCCCCAACUUGGGUAUAAGCCUGGGAAACUGGGUCUAAUUCCCGAUAGGACUGCAGGGUGGUGCCUGUGGUGGAAAACGAUUUUCUAGUGGUUGGGGAUGAGCUCGCGGCCCAUCAGCUUGUUGGUGGGGUAAUGGCCUACCAAGGCGGCGACGGGUAGCCGGCCUGAGAGGGUGGACGGCCACAUUGGGACUGAGAUACGGCCCAGACUCCUACGGGAGGCAGCAGUGGGGAAUAUUGCACAAUGGGCGGAAGCCUGAUGCAGCGACGCCGCGUGGGGGAUGACGGCCUUCGGGUUGUAAACUCCUUUCGACCGCGAGGAAGCCACCUGGUUGGAAGGGUGGUGACGGUAGUGGUAGAAGAAGCACCGGCUAACUACGUG